UUACUUUUAAAAAACCUCAUCAACCUCCUCUCAAACAAAGGGUAAAGUGAUCUAUGAGCACAAAAAAGAAAAUGAUGGAUUAAGGAGGCCAUCUCCCCAUCUAAUCUACCGCUAUAUAGAAAAACUCCAGAGCUGUCUUUCUUCUAUAAAUCCAACAAAAGCUGCAUUUGCAACAUAGAUUACAAUGACGAACUUACGAUGACAUACAAAGCCAAUCAAAUUACACUUAAGUUUAGUCGCUUGUGUGAUUUAAAACCGCAAGAACAAUAUCUCUCACUUGUAUAGUUAUCAAAAGACAACCAAAUAUAAAAAAUCUUGCAUCCAGAAGUGAAGUUCACCAUAUUCAUGCUUGGAGAUGCUCGAGCAAAGAUGCCCAGUUAGUGCAGAUUUCCAACCCUUGAUUUUUACAAUCAGUUUGUACAAACAAGAUGCUUAGUCAGGCAAAGCAGUUCCUCGCUCAAGAUUGUUCUUAAUCUCCAGCGUGUAUUUGCCAAAAGCUCGUUCAAUCUUCUUAUUGAAAUGCUCAUUACGGUCAUUAAUCGAGUCAAUAUCCUUCUCUUCACGGAACCUCCUCCUUCGACUAAAUGACUUGCGUUUCUCCUCCCGGUCAUUGAGUUCCUUCACCAUCCGGUCAAUCUUGUCCUCAGAUAUCUUGGGUGCCUUUCCAUAUUGAAGACUUGAGGCUUCACGGUAGAACUCAGGAUCAGCUUCUUUCAUUUUGUUAUAUUCUUCUAGAUCAACCUCGAUGUUCUUUGACCGCUUUUUAUGCGCAUUGUAGAGUGUCUUCUGAUUGAAAACAUCCCAACCAAAUGGAGCAGGAUCUUUUUCCCAUUUUUUAUAUUUUGCCUCAGCGGCCUCUUGUGUAUCCAGCAUGUAUGCCUCUUUCAUAUCCAAACCAUUUGCAUCUAAAAGUUUUCCAAUUUUUUUCUUCCUAUCUUCAAGCCAUUUUUGUUUAGAAAUGCCUCUUGAUUCUGGUGCAGCUUCCAUUUUUUUCUUUUCAGCUACCAUUGCUGUUUGAUUGGCUUUUCUAGCCUCAUUCAUCUUAAGCCUCAACUCAAACAAUUUUUUCUGCCUCCCAGUAAGUUGUGUACCAUCUCCUUCCACAUUUUCCUGGACUGGAUGAUUGUCGUCAUCAUCAGACUCUUCUUCAAAAACUGAUCUUUCAUCAUGCUGUACCUCAUCUUGCUCAGAAGCAAGUGUGGUGGACCCAUAAUUUCCACCUUUAUCUUGCACAACUUCUGAUUAUAGUAGAAAAAAAUGUCAAUCAGUUAAAUAAAUAAACAUGAUCUAACAAUGAUUGUGCACCUACUACUGGGAUGGAAUCCCAUAAAUUUUGAAGUAAAGAAUCUUCUACAAGCAUCAAAUUCAAAAAAAUAAAGAUCGUUGUUACCACAGAUUAUGCAAAAGGGAAAUGGCAUGUACAUGAAUUUACAUCUUUCUGUAUGUUUCAUUUUUCCAUCAUUAAUAUUAGGAACAACCAUGGUUAAGAAAGGCAAUAGAAUAGCAAAAGAGUUUUUAUAAGUACCUGUUUCUUUCUUACUCAUUUGUGCCAUAGCUUCUGCAAUUUUUCUGAAGCAAUAUUCCACACACUCAUGGUAUGGAUUAGAUGCAUUUAUACAAUCUGGGUGCACUCUCCUUUCUCCAGCCAUCUUCUGCUAAUUUGACCACCUUCUACACUACUGUAAUUCCAAUGAUUAAACUUCUAUUUUCAAUUAAAACAGCUGCAAACCCAUUACCAUAGCAUGAAAUUAUUUCAAACACUGACAACAAUCACACCUAGUUUCUUAACAGGUACUAAUUCAAAUAAAAAUCUCACCUAGGAUUCCAAAUUAUGUUUUUCACUAUAAUUAACUAAUACAUUCAAUGAGCCCUUAUCAAAUAAAUGCAUCACAAGAAACAAAAUAAAAGCAAUUUAACUACAUGUUUUCCUAAAGAAUCAUAAUUUAUGCUAUUUAGUACUAAAAAAAAUCGAGCUUAAAAAAAUCGAGCUAGUUUUCUUUCUUCAUUAAAAAAUCAAUAACCCAAGAAAAAAGAAUUGUUCCUUCAUGAGCUAAUCAAGUCAAAAACGGAUUAAAAGGUAAGGAAUUUGAUGUUCCCGCAGUUCCUAGGCAACCAAACAAACGUUAACAUUCACAAAAUCAAAACCAACCCUAGAAGUCGCGACUAGUCAGAAUUGAAAUUAAGACGAGAAAUCAAGGGUAAAAAGAAGACGAGAAAAGAUAAUCAAAGAGCCAAACCUGUGAAAGAGAUUGCUUUCUCUAUGAUCUAACGUCUCCCUAGCUUAAAGGGAACGGGAUAAAGGAAAUCAGAGAAUUUGGCUAGGGAUUUUCGAUAUUCCUUUGCAUAUGUUAUCCUUAUACAGAGGCUCCAGAGUCUGUCCUAGGCCCAACCGAG
rnacentral:misc_RNA from 1 species